GGACUACAAGGGUAUCUAAUCCCGUUCGCUACCCACGCUUUCGUGCCUCAGCGUCAGAAUCGGCCCAGCUGCCUGUCUUCACCUUUGGCGUUCCUCUAGAUAUCUACGCAUUUCACCGCUCCACCUAGAGUUCCGGCAGCCCCUACCGACCUCAAGUUCCAUAGUAUACCGAGCCAUUCCACGGUUAAGCCGUGGGAUUUCACAAGGCACUUACGGAACAGCCUACGCACCCUUUAAGCCCAGUGACUCCGAAUAACGCUCGAGAUCUCUGUAUUACCGCGGCUGCUGGCAC
rnacentral:rRNA from 1 species